GGGGGUGGGCGGGGUGGACGAUGGAUAACGGCCCGGACCGGGACAAGCGCGCCGCGGACAGUAGCCCGGGAGGACAAGCACGCGCGGGCACGAAAGGCGCCGGUGCGCGUGCGCGCCGGAGGAUAAAACGCCGCUAGCCCGGCUGCUGCGGCGCGAGGUUACCACCCGCGAGGACACCACCCGCGAGGACCGGCACGGGAGGGCCGUGUGUGUGUGUGUGUGUCGGGGUGGGGGCUCCGUGCGCGUGCGCAGAGACGGCUGCAGCCUGCGAAGCCAGCCCAGGGAGGGCCCGCACGGCGUUGCGCGCGCACGGCGUCGUUGUGCGCGCGCGCGCGCGCCAGGCCCCAGGUCCCCGCCGCCCCUCCCCACGCAGCACGCCACCCCGCGCCGGCUCCUGGAGAAAGCCAGCUCCCAGAGGCAUGGCCGGGCUCCUGAAGGGCGGGGACCUAGGGCUCCAUCCCGCUCGCGCGGGACCUCAAGAGCCAAUGGGAGGCCGGAGGAGGUCGGGUUCGCCUCGUCCAGCAGCAGCCUCGGGAUAACGGAGAUGGACCCAACUUCAGUUUCCAGCACCCCCGUCAGGCAGUUCAUUAUAACAUGUAACUCCAGCUCCAGAGGAACCCGAAGCUGUAGCCUCCCUGGGCACCUGCACUCAAGUGCACAGAUACUCAUAUCGACACAUAAUUAAAAAUAAAGAAUAAUCAUUACUUGGGCUUGAGAAUAUAACUCAUUUGUAGAAUGCUUGCUUACAGACACAAGGUCCUGGGUUCCAUUCUCAGUACAGAAUGUCGCAAAGUAAAUAAAAAUAAAGAUAAUUUCCAUUGAAUUUUUUCUCACUAGGUAUCCCUGACUGCCCUAGAAUUUACUAUGUAUCUUAGACUGAAAUAGAGUGUGUGGCAUCCCGCUGCCUCUGCCUCCUGAGUGAUGGAAAAGAAUGAUGUUGGCAUUGCACAAAGGAACACAAGAACAAAGCAAAAAUAACUCAGCAAGACAAUUUACCAUCAUCAUCAUCAUCAUCAUUAAUUUUGCAAAAGCGAUGCUUGCAGGGAGGUGUCAAGAUGGACCAGAGAUGAAGACCACUGGAAGCGCUUCACAACUGCCUGAAACUCCAGUUCCAGGGAAACUGAUGCCCUCUUCUGGCCUACCCAGGAACUGCAGAGAUAUACGCUAGCAAAACACCUAUGCAGUUAAAAAUAAAUCUCUACAAAGUG